ensembl:lncRNA
GACCUUCGGGUUAUAAGUCCAAAUUCCAACAAAACCUUUUUUUUUCUUCCAUUCCAGGAGAUGUUUCCCUGUAAACAGUGCCAGGACGUGCUUAAUAACUCAUGAAACUUCCUGCUAACUCACAGCAGAUGCAAGACCAGCUCAGAAGAAGCUGUAUGAGGUAAGUCAAAUCUUUCUAUUUAAUAUUACUAAGCUACUGUAUAUGCUCUUUCAGUUUAUCCUUACGUGUGUAAUGGAUUGUGCAGUUAAGUUGCUUAUCAUGUUUAUGAUUUUAUAAAACAAUACGAUAGAAGAUGAUAAAACAAUAGAAGCAAUAUGAUAGAAGAUAUCAGUGUUCAAAAAAUAUUUACCUUUAUACAUGAAUAAUAUUCAGAAUGAAAUCAUCUUCCACGUUAUAUAGGUGUAAUUAGGCUUUAAUAUGUAUUUCAGACAAUUUAUAUUGAAUUUCAAAUCUGGAAAUAUCUCAUUUUUAAUAAGUUAUUAUUAUUUCUGAUAUUCCAGAUUACCAUUUGCUUAGUGAGAAUAAAGCUCUUUCUGAUUACAGAAGGACUUCUACAUUGUGGUUUUAUCUCUGACUUCAUCAUGAGGUUUCUGGUUUCACAGCCUCUGCUGGUGUUCAUAUCAGUCCUGUCACUGACCAGAGCACAAUCAACAUCUGCACCAAUAACAUUAUCAACAGAAGGUACUUUCCUCAAAGAAAAACAGUUCCUAACAAAUGUCUUUAAGCUUAGAUGAAGUUCAGACCAGGUGGACAUUUAACCCUUUAACUGUCACCCCCNNNNNNNNNNNNNNNNNNNNNNNNNNNNNNNNNNNNNNNNNNNNNNNNNNNNNNNNNNNNNNNNUGAGGUUCCUGUGAGAUUUUAUUUAGCGCGUCAUGCCACAAACAGCCACUGGGUGCCAUCAAAAAUCCUUUGAAUUUUGUUUAAUGAAUUUUUCCUCUAGAUUUCAAAAUAACCACCAAAUAUGGAAUCCUGAGACUCAGACCUUUCCAAUUAUAUGUUUGUUGCCAAGAUUAUAAAAGUUUUUAUUCUAUGUAAUAUGAUCAUUUUGUAAUAUGACACUUGACACUGCCCACUAAGAGGGAGGAGACAGCUAUAAGAUUUUAAAGUACCAUUUCCAUGGUAACGCAAUGUCCGAUUUCAAAAUGGUUUUCACAGGAUGAAUGUUUCAAAGCUUUCAAAUGAUACAUAAUUCAUGAUGACUACUAAAAGAUUUCAUAGAGACAAAGGACAACAAAAAAAAAGAGCGCCAAGCGUCCCACAGGUGACAGUUAAGGGGUUAAGGCAUAAUGUACAGUAGUAUCACUAAUUACAUAGCUUUUCGCCACAUUAAAGGAGAUAAAAUGUUAUUUUAGAAGAAAAACAUUUAUAAAUCUUACCAGUUUAGUAUAUUAAAUCCAUUACAGCAUACAAAACAAUCAUUCUGGCAAGAAGAUUGUUAUCUUGUCAUAACUGACCAAUCAGAAUCAACUAUUCCAGAGAGCUGUGUAUAAAAUGAAGUGAAGUGACAUGACAAACAGCCAAGUAUGGUGACCCCACACACACCGUGAACGCACACCUGGAGCAGUGGGAAGUCAAACUCUCUAACCAUUAGGCCACGAUUUAUAAAUGUAUUUCUUCUAAAUGUAAUAAUGUUUUUUUUAAAAACAUUAAAAAAAAAUAAAACAUGGGGCAGCUGUGGCCUAAUGGUUAGA